AUAGGUAAGUGGUCAACGAAACAAUUGACCAACUUUCUCAUGAUACUUUACCUAUAAUGAGAAGAAGAUCGAUACAACGAUAUCAGUUUUAGAUUCUCAAGAGGAGAGAACUAUAUUGUAGGCUAAAUAAGUGAAGAGAUGGCCAGAAUAAGCUGCCAGGGUAAAUCAGAGCUUGACAGGGUCUCGUAGUUGCAGAGUGAUUGUGUUUGUAUAUGUGCAUAGUAGGAAGACAAUUGGAAACACUUACCAAAAUCAUCAAGAAUGGAGACUAAUGUGGGAAGCAACCGUCAGAGGGGACAGUUAUUAUGUUUGCAAGCAGUUGUUGUGUAUUAAUAUAAAUAGUAAAAUUGUACUCUACAAAGGAUCCUUCGACAAUCAAUUCAAUCAUAUUAGUUUAUCUUUCUCUUAAUCUUUUAUCCUACGAGUAUGUGUAACUUAGAUUAUCUAUCAGAGCUCAAUAUUACACUCCUACCAUAAUUUAGUAUUACAUCCUUAUUAUAACCUAGUGCUAUACCCUAUUGUAGCCCAAUGCUACACCCUUAAUUAUAGUCUAGCACUAUACCCCCUAUCAAAUUCUAUCUUAUUCGAAUGAUGGUAUGAUAGUGGCGAAAGUUUUUGAAAGUCAAAGCACCUAGACCCAUGCUAUUCUCUAUCUUCUAUUCGAUUAAUAUCUUUCUGACUAGUUAUGGCACGCUCGCGCACACAUCUAACUUUUUCUGACUCAUUCAGAAUAAGAUAGAAAGGGUGGCAAUAGGAGACCACAACAUCUUGGAGACAUCAAA
rnacentral:lncRNA from 1 species